rnacentral:rRNA from 1 species
GAUGAACGCUGGCGGCGUGCCUAAUACAUGCAAGUCGAACGCAUAGCGAAAGGUGCUUGCACCUUUCAAGUGAGUGGCGAACGGGUGAGUAACACGUGGACAACCUGCCUCAAGGCUGGGGAUAACAUUUGGAAACAGAUGCUAAUACCGAAUAAAACUUAGUGUCGCAUGACACAAAGUUAAAAGGCGCUUCGGCGUCACCUAGAGAUGGAUCCGCGGUGCAUUAGUUAGUUGGUGGGGUAAAGGCCUACCAAGACAAUGAUGCAUAGCCGAGUUGAGAGACUGAUCGGCCACAUUGGGACUGAGACACGGCCCAAACUCCUACGGGAGGCUGCAGUAGGGAAUCUUCCACAAUGGGCGAAAGCCUGAUGGAGCAACGCCGCGUGUGUGAUGAAGGCUUUCGAGUCGUAAAGCACUGUUGUAUGGGAAGAACAGCUAGAAUAGGAAAUGAUUUUAGUUUGACGGUACCAUACCAGAAAGGGACGGCUAAAUACGUG